AAGGAUCAUUAACAAAUGAAAUUCCAUCAAGUGUUGGUUCUGGUGCAUUUUUGUUCAUGAUUGCGUGAGCAAUCACGAGGAAAAAGCAAUCACGAGCCGCAAAACACAACAACAACAACAUUAAACACAGACAGACACAUACAUGGACACAGACAGACAAUUAAUGAGAUAACUUUUAACAAUGGAUCUCUCGGCUCUG
rnacentral:misc_RNA from 1 species